CUGCAAUCCCUUCUACACUAUUCCCCUUAGUACUACUGCCACCACCAAGACUUUUAAACCCGGGCGUCUUAGGUUACCCCACACACAGGAGAAUUAUAGUAUCACAGUUCUACUUUUACUGAUAAAACAUAUAUAGUUAACCCCUUUUGGUAACGUGUUUACCUGAGCUUUCCUCUGGAGAGUGAAGCUCAUAGAGAACAGAGACACAAGCUGAUUAAGUAAACAUUUAAUCUGACAAAAAGGAUUCACAGUGCUGAGUACAAAAUACAGAAAUAAAUGACAUACAGAUAACAAAUUGCAAAACAGUACAUAAAAUAAAAUAGGAGAAAACACAAGAAAUUCCUUACAUAUAUUUACCCCAUAUAGAAUUCUUGUGGGAGUCUUAGAUGGUAUAGGUCUCCUAGAAGUUACUGACAAAAAGAAAAAUGAAUAACUGACCAUCCCUGGAUAGUCCAACACCCUCAUAUAUCUAAACUAGCUGUUUCUCAGUGGGCAGACACCUGGGGGGGGGAUCAGAGGGGGUUGGUCUGGCAGUCUAUUGCCCACUCUAUGAAAUUCCUUGUGUCCAGCUCUGGUGAUGGCUAUCUAGAUGUUUUAUGGUCUAGGCCUGGUGCAAGAUCAAAGACCACAACAAAUGUCAUUCCAAGGUUUACAAAAAAAACCAACUCUUAACAUAUAUAAACACACAUCAAACACCAACUCAUGCUUUUGGCAUGACACCUCCCCCUUAAGAUGGUGGACAGAAAAAUGCACCCACAGGCUGAUUUAUCUGUCUACCAUUAACCCUCUAGUUGCCGAGACAGGCCAUCUGCAUUCCCAUGCAAGCUGCCCUUUUUGUGCCGGGCAGUGAAAUUAUACUGUUGGAGGAUAGGGCUCCAAUGGAGCAGUUUAUCAUUGUUACCUGUCACCUGCAGCAGGUUGUGAUCAGUCCAUACCACAGCUACCCCCUCAACAAACAUGCCUGAUUUGCCUGUUUCAAUUUUCCAUCGAUCUCUGGUAACAUCCCUUAAACCACACCCACUGCGCUCAUGUAGUAGCUGUAAAGGGAAGAAACCAAUGGAUUUCUGCAGCACUCCCCGGUAAGCACACAAAAAAGCAGACAGAGAACACUCCCAGGAUAGAUGUGCUGUAUCAACACCCAUCAUCUCUUUCAUUUUGCGGUCUGUCUGCUGGGCUUGUUGCACUAUCAGACUCUGAACCUUUGGUUCACAAUCAGAAAGUUGCUCAGGUGUAUGCGUGAGUUGUGAUAAACUGACAAGGUUCCUGGUUCCUCCAACAGUAUGUUUCCCUGCAGCCAUCCUUCCUGGACCCGAAGGCUGAGUCUGCCCGUGCCCCUCACUUUCACUCCAGGUCAUCACACAUACCGAACUUUGGAAACUGGCUAAGCCUGCCGCAGAGUCAAGCUCACACACCCUCUGCCCUCCCUCAUAGCCUUGCUGUCCCUUCACAUUUUCACCCAGUGCAUCACAUACAUCUGCUUCAGGCACAUAUUGGCACAUAUAUUCCUUCAGGCCCCUCUCGCUGGAAGGCUUUUCCCAUACAUUUUCACAGGACACAUUUGACCCCCCUUGAUCAGAUACAGAAUUUUGCACACACUCACAUAAUUUCUUCUCCAAGGCAGGCCAUCCUCUCGCAAUCUCACAUAGCCCCUCAGACUCUGCAGCCGUGACCCACUGCUGACUUGUUACCACUGCUGACUUGUUACCCUGGCUCUCACCUUCCUCCUCUCCCUUACUCUCUGACAUCCCAGCCUCACAGUAUUUUAAUACAGGCACAUCACUACUCACCCCUAUCUCACAUUUGGUAGACAUCACUGGUUCAGUUACAGGUAGAUAUUUAUCCACACCCUGCUCUCCCUCCCAGCAAUCACACUUCACAAUGUCUCCCAAAGUUUCACACAAUACCUUAGGUGGAGCAGUCAGCCCUUCUGGCUCACAAACAGUGUCCGCUGGAGCAUAGUGACAGAGCAUCCUGCCCAAAUCAUU